rnacentral:rRNA from 1 species
GAUGAACGCUGGCGGCGUGCCUAAUACAUGCAAGUCGAGCGAACAGAUGAGGAGCUUGCUCCUCUGACGUUAGCGGCGGACGGGUGAGUAACACGUGGAUAACCUACCUAUAAGACUGGGAUAACUUCGGGAAACCGGAGCUAAUACCGGAUAAUAUAUUGAACCGCAUGGUUCAAUAGUGAAAGACGGUUUUGCUGUCACUUAUAGAUGGAUCCGCGCCGCAUUAGCUAGUUGUUAAGGUAACGGCUUACCAAGGCAACGAUGCGUAGCCGACCUGAGAGGGUGAUCGGCCACACUGGAACUGAGACACGGUCCAGACUCCUACGGGAGGCAGCAGUAGGGAAUCUUCCGCAAUGGGCGAAAGCCUGACGGAGCAACGCCGCGUGAGUGAUGAAGGUCUUCGGAUCGUAAAACUCUGUUAUUAGGGAAGAACAAAUGUGUAAGUAACUAUGCACGUCUUGACGGUACCUAAUCAGAAAGCCACGGCUAACUACGUG